GCGACCCCAGGUCAGUCGGGGAUCACCCGCUGAGUUUAAGCAUAUCAAUAAGCGGAGGA
rnacentral:rRNA from 1 species